rnacentral:rRNA from 1 species
AUUGAACGCUGGCGGCAUGCUUUACACAUGCAAGUCGAACGGUAACAGGCCGCAAGGUGCUGACGAGUGGCGAACGGGUGAGUAAUGCAUCGGAACGUGCCCAGUCGUGGGGGAUAACGCAGCGAAAGCUGUGCUAAUACCGCAUACGAUCUGUGGAUGAAAGCGGGGGACCGAAAGGCCUCGCGCGAUUGGAGCGGCCAAUGUCAGAUUAGGUAGUUGGUGGGGUAAAGGCUCACCAAGCCAACGAUCUGUAGCUGGUCUGAGAGGAGGACCAGCCACACUGGGACUGUGACGCGGCCCAGACUCCUACGGGAGGCAGCAGUGGGGAAUUUUGGACAAUGGGCGCAAGCCUGAUCCAGCAAUGCCGCGUGCAGGAAGAAGGCCUUCGGGUUGUAAACUGCUUUUGUACGGAGCGAAAAGGCUCUCUCUAAUACAGGGGGCUCAUGACGGUACCGUAAGAAUAAGCACCGGCUAACUACGUGCCAGCAGCCGCCGUAACAC